UAGCAGGGCAGGCCAGCGUAAUGCCUGAACCUUUCAACCACUCACUAACACUCAGUCCCAGGCUUUCAGUCCGGUGUUUGUUCAGUUACCCCAGACGCUUGACUCAUGAGGGACUGUAUUUAUGCUGAGUCUGUCCCCUGCCUUGGGGUUACUUCGGUUGAAUGAUAUCCACUGGUUCAGGUCCCAUAGCAAGAGACUGAAUGUGCCAAGAGAGAUCAAGAGCGUGACAACAGGAUAAAAAGGGGAGGGGUGACGAAGAAACGGCAACCUCAAGUGCAUGAAGCUAUUGGGUGGCCACCCUGGUGGGUGUCUUUUUCUCGCUUGUGGGAAUCAAAGCACUCUCCUGCCCAGUUGAAAGGACCUUCCGACUGCCUGAACACCGAAGCCUGUGGCGGAGAGUUGUAAACAGAUUUGCAGAUGGGAAUGCAAGGGAACAGAGAGCAUGGUGGUUAGAAUAAGAAAAGCCAACUUCCCACUCCCUCUGUUGGAACUAGAGCCUGUUUUUUUUUUCCAGGGAUGCAAUAAAGUAAAUGGUAACAACCUUAAUUAUGUUGGUGAUGAUGGCGACACAUCCCUAAAGUCCCGCGAGCUCUGGCUCACUUCUUCUGGUUUGGGGCUUUCUGCUCCCCUUGAGGUUUGCUGGAGCAAUGUGGCAAGACUGGACGCCAGCCCUCUCUGGCUCCGAGGGGAAAGUAAAUCAUCUUACACUUUACAGCGUGGAUAGUCCAGCCAGACAAUAAAAAGACUCCAGAUAUGUGUUCAAUCAAACCGUCACACCCAGAAGGGUGUUCUCUCCAAUGGCUUCCUCCCCAGAACAAGAGCGACCUAAGCAAGCAAACUGGAGUCGAUACUCACGAUUCCCUCUUGCUCUACCAUGAACCGGGCACGUGUUCUCCAGUACGACCAACCUUCCUGCCUCUCAGGCUCAGGAGCAACUUCCUGUCUGCUGUGCCUGCAGCCACGUAGGGACUGAGGAACACAGCAAAGCCACAAAAGGCAGCUCAGUGCCAAGCAGACAGUGUCUUGCCGUGGGGUGAGGCCAUUGUUGUAGGACUGGCCCAUUGCUUCGAGGUAAACAGCGCCCAGCUAUGAAGCGUGCUAAGAGAGGUCAGGACUUCGCAGGACGGAGAAGGAAAUGUUACCGAAGAGAGUCUCUGAAAUGGAAAGGCCAUGUGCUUUGCAGACAACAGAUGGAGUGAUCUCACUGAGCAGGGUCCUCCUCCUUCCUUGAGGUUGGUUCCCUGGGGAAAAUGUAUCACCCAUGAAGAGUUUCUCUGGAAAGGAGUUGAAGAUACCUUGCCUCUUUUGAAGAACCUCCUUUGCUGAGGAGUUCUGAAAUUCAGCCUGUCUCUAAACCUAACUGGUCCCAGUGCUGUGGACCCUUGGAGACAAUUACAAACCAGACGGGACUCAAGUUUCAGUUACCCAGGCCAUGUGUCUUCUGAUUGAGGGUAGGGAAGGAGGAUUCCGGGAUACACACAGCCUGUUUUUAUGAGAUCUCAGGGAGGACAGCCAUGCCUGGUCAGAAAGCAAGACUUCCUCUGGAGAGGCCCUCCACAGGCUGGUCUCCCCCUCUCCUCUGCCGUCUCAGGAAUAGGCAGUGUGUUUACGAAGAUGCCUCAAGGUUCCAUUGCUAUGUAGAAGCAAGUAUCUAAGUAUUCCAGACCCUAUCACCCUCUGUGCCUAAAAGGAAGGAAAACCCAAACUUGAAUGAAACCAAGUUCUAAAGAAUCAAGAUCAGAUCAAGGGAGAUGGCUCAGUCAAUAAAUUGCUUGCCACAAAA